rnacentral:rRNA from 1 species
CCUACGGGAGGCAGCAGUGAGGAAUAUUGGUCAAUGGACGAGAGUCUGAACCAGCCAAGUAGCGUGAAGGAUGACUGCCCUAUGGGUUGUAAACUUCUUUUAUAUGGGAAUAAAAUGUUCCACGUGUGGGAUUUUGUAUGUACCAUAUGAAUAAGGAUCGGCUAACUCCGUGCCAGCAGCCGCGGUAAUACGGAGGAUUCAAGCGUUAUCCGGAUUUAUUGGGUUUAAAGGGUGCGUAGGCGGGUUAUCAAGUCAGUGGUAAAAUAGUGGAGCUCAACUCCAUCCAGCCGUUGACACUGAUGAUCGUGAGUAGGCUAGAAGUAUGCGGAAUGCGUGGUGUAGCGGUGAAAUGCAUAGAUAUCACGCAGAACUCCGAUUGCGAAGGCAGCAUACCGGCGCCCGACUGACGCUGAAGCACGAAAGCGUGGGUAUCGAACAGGAUUAGAUACCCGUGUAGUC